GUAUGGGGCAAGCGUUAUCCGGAUUUACUGGGUGUAAAGGGAGCGCAGGCGGCGCGGCAAGUCAGAUGUGAAAGCCCGGGGCCCAACCCCGGGACUGCAUUUGAAACUGCCGUGCUGGAGUGUCGGAGAGGCAAGUGGAAUUCCUAGUGUAGCGGUGAAAUGCGUAGAUAUUAGGAGGAACACCAGUGGCGAAGGCGGCUUGCUGGACGAUAACUGACGCUGAGGCUCGAAAGCGUGGGGAGCAAA
rnacentral:rRNA from 1 species